UACAGAGGGCUCAACCGUUGUUCGGAUUCAUUGGGCGUAAAGGGUGCGUAGGCGGCGGGGCAAGUCAGGUGUGAAAUCUCGGGGCUCAACCCCGAAACUGCACUUGAUACUGCCUUGCUCGAGUACUGGAGAGGAGACUGGAAUUUACGGUGUAGCAGUGAAAUGCGUAGAUAUCGUAAGGAAGACCAGUGGCGAAGGCGAGUCUCUGGACAGUUACUGACGCUGAGGCACGAAGGCCAGGGGAGCAAACGGG
rnacentral:rRNA from 1 species